AAACAGUCGGCUAUGAUCGUUCAAUGCCAAAAGGUCGGCAAUAACGGCCAGUGGCAACAGCACUCUGCUUCCUGCCAUGCAAAAACCAGUUGCGUAUUGUGUGCCACUUGUAUCAUCUUUCAGCAACUUGACUCUGAAGUAGUUGUACAUCCUGUGCAGUUCUGCAAUAUUAUGAAAGGUUUGUAUGCUUUUGUCAACUUUUACUCAUCAUGAAGGAUUACCAACUCUAUUUUACAAUGACGUAAAUUACUUGGAACAGAUGCUUGCGAUGAUGCACAUGUUGUCAUUGUACAGAUUCUUCUAAACUUGCAUGCUAAUUUCAUGAGUGUGUACUCUUCAAUCCCGUCAGUAAUUUGUACAAUUCCUGUCACGAUGAGUUAAAGUGCAAAUUUAAAGUCAACCAAGUUUCUGGUGAGUGUUCAAAUUAUUGGGGUGGUGUGUAGUGUAAUUAUUGUCUGUAAACAGCUGCAGUGUGCUUUAUUUUACAGCAUCUUGUUGCGGUACUACAUAUGAGCCAUUCCUCACCAUUGAAGAAGUACAUCUUGCUGCUAGAACCUUACAAGAAUGUCUGGAUGGACUAGAGUCAAGAGAGAUUUGUAGGAAUUGUAACUGUGCUGUGAAGCCAGUCAUGGCUGUUCACACUGCCCCUGCUGUACUCAUCAUUAAUUUAGGAAGAUUUUCUGUUAUUUUUCGUUCGAGGAACCCGCCCUCCCGCACGAUGUGUCCACAGUAGCUCUCCUGACCCUCGGGACCCAGGUAAUGUCCGCAGUCGUCCACAAGGCCUGGAGCAGAGGUGGACGACGCGGACAGCACGUGGACGCAUUCUGGUCGGUCGAAGCGGUAGAUGACCCCGGCGUGGUCGCGCCCGGCCCCACUCCCCGCGCUGCAGCAGUAGAUGCACCGGUGGUGCCGGCCCCCGCGGCGCCCGCAGCGUUACAAGUCGUUGCGUCUCAGCCAGGUCCGUCUCAGCAGCAGCAGCACCCGUACGCUCAGCAUCCAGGCCCGUCUCAGCAGCAGCCGCCGUAUGAUUAGCAUCCAGGCCCGUCUCAGCAACAGCCGCCGUAUGCUCAGCAGCCAGGCCAAGGCUCGUCUCAGCAGCAGCUGUUCGCUCAGCAUAGCCCGUCUCAGCAGCAGCCGUAUCCUCACUUUCAGCCCAUCCAAUCUGUCCAUCAGCCCCAAGCCAGCUUCCAGUUCGGCAGCCCUGUCCUGGUCGUCGCCCCGGCGAACGCCUACCACAACCCCCCCAUCAUCAUCUGAUCGCAUGACUUUAAGAAGAAUGGCCGUGCCACGAGUCACUCUUCCCUGGGAGAGGCACCACAGGCCAAGGCGGCCAAACAUGCUGGAGACAGCCCUGUCCAAGCUGUACGAUGUUGGCGUCAUCAUGCCGGGGCCGUCCUCAGCCUGUUCAGCCGCCUCAGCCACAACAGCUAUUGUACCCUGCACCCUUUCCCGUCCAUGACCAACAGCAGCAGCCCGUGGGUCAUGCCGUUUCAAGUACUUCAAGCGUCCGCCCCACAGUGGUCGGAAAUCAUCAAAAAGCGGCAAUAACUCGACACGCGCUCCGUAGGCGGGGAGUAGUGCCGGGCGGUCAGCGUCCUCCGACCCGAUCAGUAUUAAUCGCUUGAUAUCGUGAAAUCUACCAUCACACCAUAACAAACCACAUACCAACGGGUAGGGAAUUUAUCCUACUUCUACUAGUCUAACAUACGUCGCUUUAUAGAUACGAUUUUACCUUUGGCAUGCAUUCAAACACAACUAUGAGGUCGCGCAGCGUCGCCCAAGAAACACUCACAUUUUUUCCGUUUGCGCAAGUUUGCGCAAAAUGUCUUUGUUGAUAUUGAUAGGAGUAGCUUCCAGGAUUGUCGUGCAAUCUCCCGUUUCCCCAACAAACCCUAACAUUUUUUUAAAAGUCAAUUUACAUUUCACCCUUGACGGCUGGUCGGCGAGAUUUCCUGUAUAUACAUAAAUGGAUGUUAAAUGCGUAAUUCUCAUUCUAAUGAGUCGUGCCUCAUAUGAGAGAGAAGGUGAAAGUACGCCCUUUCCGGUGGCACACAACUUUUUCAGUUCAUUUGCAACGAUAUAUUGUUUAGAAGAGGUCAAAGUAAGCGUAAAAGUUCGUCCGCCCGGCGCCGACUAACCUCUCAGCCGCACCGCAACUUUUGCAUCGAGUUUUGAAAUAACUGCGACAGUCUAGGACGUUUUAUUUGUUUGAAUAUCAAAGUCUGAUGCUUUAUUUAUGCAGCGGGUGGAAACUCUGAUGCCGCUCUGAAACAAGGAUCGACAUUUAGGCUUUACCCCGGAAAACGCCAUUUUGUCGUCCUUAAUGUGAGAAAACGGAGAGACCAACUCAAAAUCUGAACACAGCUAUGAAUUCAGCGUGUUGUUCUGUGUGCAUUUCACUUCUUGGGUUUCGAAGAAAGAGGGUCUGUUCCCUAGGAACACACGUUCAAUGGCAGACUGUUUCGUCAAUUUCAUGCAAUUCAAUCGCUGCAUACCUGGUCUCAGUUGCACGGCGCCGGUUAUUUAUGAUAAUACAGAGUUGACGACUUCAUGGCAGCUUUCUGCACAGGAAAUUUACUCAGGAUUCAGAAUAAGACCUCGAAAUUAACGUACGAGGUCCUGUUCUCUUGCAUUAAGGAAGACAAGAAAUCAAUGCAACGUUUCGAUCCUUGUCUCAAAGCGUCAUCUUGACCCAUUUUUUACAUUCCUAUGGCAAAAUGACCUACUAUUUCCGUAGACCGCGGCACUACAUACAGCCUAUACAACGUGAAAUUUUAUGAGGAUUCCAAAUAUGUCCCCGGUUUUGGCCUGUCACGUCUGGUUUCUGAUAUCAAGAGCGUAUAAAACACCUCUACAUGCCUUUUUUGACAACAGAGUUUCCACCCGCUGAUUUAUGUAAUCCAAACACUUUAGAUACCGGACGGGUAUUUCCAAAACGAACACUUAUUGCCGCUUUUGGGCGAUUCCCGACCACUGUGCGCCCCCAUGGCAGUCCCUCUAGCAGCCGUGACACCACCCGCGGCCGCCCAGCCGGCGUCGGACGGCGGCCUCCCCUGCAAGGUGUGCUGGGUGGCACCGUCCGAGGGAAUACUGCUGCCAUGUAGACACGGAAUGUGCUCACCAUGCUUUGAGGGCCAGCUGGCGGCCCUGACCAAUUCUGCAAGCUGCCCAUGGAUAGGGCUUCGUUUCAUCUGUUUCGCAAUUAGUUUGUGUUAAUCAAGUUUGAGGGAGAAGAAGUCCCUGACGUGGCCAGAAAGAGCUGGAUACAAAUGAAGGAAGAUCGAUUUGAGUGUAAAUGGCCAGGAGGAGCACUCACAGAAAAGCAGCUGUUCACAAUGAUCACCAAAGCGGAUUUUCCCACAGAUGGGUGGGAGUUUCACCCCUGUGUAAUUUUAUGUUCCUAUGAUCACUCAAGCUUAAUUGCCCAGGACAGAUUACCUUGCUGGCACAUGCUUGCCCCAAACAGAUUUUGAAGAUAUCAAAAUUCAUUGAUUUGCACAUGUAUUAUCCAACCAAGGAUAAGAAAUUUGCUGCACACUACAGCAGAGACAAAAAGUUGUCGCAGGAAACACAAGGCAUAAUGAACACAAUGUUUAAAUGUAGAGGGAAAAAUGCAGAUAUUGUGCAGCAGAUUAGAGAGACAACUGGAAAGGCCGUAAAUGCCAAGGAUGUGUCGAAUUUCAAGCAAAAAUUCAAAAUUGGACAGAGAUAAGGCAAGACUCCAGAAGAAGAUCUGAUUAUGGAGCUAGAUAAAAAGGUUAAGGAAGACCCAGGUGCACAGUAUGUUAAUUGCCAUGUUGAAGUUGAAACAGACGAAGCAGAUGAACCCGAGGAUGGCCCACCAAAAUUAGUAGACUUCAUUAUGUUCCAGACGAGUGCUUUGAGAGACAAUCUAAGAAAUUCCCAGAAAUUAUAGGUAUGGAUACCACAUAUGAUGUCAAUACACACAAUAUGCACCUUGUGGUUACGCAAGCUAUUGACAACCAUAAGAAUGGCAGGAUUGUGGCCUACAUAUAUCUGAGGAGAGAAACAAAUGAUAUUUUGGAGUGUGCUCUCAGAGAAUUUGUCGAGAACAACACUGAAAGUGCCCUCAAUGUGAAGACUGUAAUUGUUGACAAUGAUUACAGGGAAAUUUCAGGUGUGAAAAAAGUCCUCCCUGAUGUGCAUGUCCAUCUCUGCCAUACACAUGUCAAAAGACUUUUCAGUAGAAAAGUUAAGGGUGAAGAGCAAUCUUCAAAGUUAACCAAAAUUUUAAAUGAUAUGUGGCUAUCAGCAAGUGCAGAAGAGUUUGAUCGCCAUUACAAUGCUCUCAGUGCUGUUGCUUCUCCUACUUUUUUGGAGUAUUUUGAUCAGUAUUGGAAGAAUAUUCAAUCAGCAUGGGUCCUGUAUGUGAGAGCUGAGUCUUUAUCUUUAGGUGUGAGAUCCACAAAUCAUGUUGAGAGCCACAACGACAAGAUUAAAAAAGUUGUCACAAGAACAAGUACGUUGGCAGAUUGUGUCAGAGAAUUGUUGCGGCUCCACUUCACAAGAGAGUUUGAGCAGUCAUAGAGAUUUCUUAAAGAGAGCCAAAAGGUCAUACCUUGUAAACAACAAAGAUGACAAUGUUAAAAUUAUAUUCAACACAGCAUCAGAUUGGGGUGCCUCUCUUCUAAUUAGUGAAUUAAAACAUAACUAUGACUUGUUAGAAGAUACUCUGCAGGAACGAGAAAAAUGCACCUGUAACUUCUCUAAGAUGUUUGGUAUGGGAGUUUGCCAUCAUGUCUUCUACCACAGGUUGCAACAAGGCCAAGAUGUACUGAAUAAAACAGAUUACCAAUCAGGUGGCUGAACCAGAGUCUUGUGUCUAGUAGUGAUCCUCAGCACAGUCAAAACUCAAAUGCUUCUGCACGAGUUCUUAGGGUAACCCCUCGUGGGCCCAAGCCCAUGGAUAAAACCUCAAAGUAUCGCAAGGCUUUAAAGAUCUGUACGGAAAUUUCCAGUAUUUUAUCCUUGAAUGGCAGGCCAUCAAUAUAGUGAGACCAGCCUAAGGUCCGUCUUUUCACAGCACGGGCAGCAUAGGAGUUUGCGGGCGAGAGGGGGUGAGGAGGGGACGGACCUAAGGCUGGUCUGGCUAUACAAAAAAAGGAUAAAAGAUAUUGAGAAAAUAUUGGAAUGCUGGAUGUCCUAAAGGGAAAUUGUUAUUAUACAUGUGAAUGCAGAUGGUACAGUGGAUUGUAAGUUGUUGACUUUAAUGAAUUAAGAGUUUUGGAUUUAAUUUGCAUGGAUUAAACUUUUGCUGUAAUUACAACCGUAAAUGUAGCUGAAAAUGCAAAAGUUGAUGGAACUAUGCUCGACAAAGAGAAGGAAUUUAUAUAGCCGGAGAAAAGUGGUGCAGAAGAGGCACCCUUCGCGCAUGACACAUGGUCACGGGCGCAAGUGUCCAGGUCGACUCGGUCGUCUGAAACAGUCCGGCCCAAGUUUUUUAGACUCAGAAGGGACCCGGCUAUGGUGGGUACUAGAACUUUUGCGGUGAAAUGAUUUUUAGUAUUUUUUCGUGCAAGUUAAACUUUUACUACUAAAAUUUAGGGAAAAUUUUCAAAGUUAUGAUUUUUUUUCUGUGGGAAGGAUUACUCCGAUUCCGGAAAUCCUAGUACCCACCAUAGCCACACGUUCUAGGAACAACCACAAAAAAAAUAGCUCCCUGGGAUUAACCGUUUGGGCUGUGGGCUUGCGCCCAGUUGUAAAAUGGGGGGCCUCUUCUACACCACUUUUCUCCGGCUACAGUGAAAAUAUCGGGACUUACGUUUUGCUGUUUUAAAGUUAAAAGAACCCUUUAUUAAAUGGCCUUUACCGAUUUUCAAUAAGAGUUAUCGUUUUCCACCAAUUAAAUCUCAAAAAAUACCCUUGUUUUUGAGCCGCUACACUAGGAUCCCCCCUUAAUACCGAAAGAUGAUGUCAAACAACUGUCUGAUGUGUCAUGGUGCGUCAAGUCACAGAACAAGCUCACCAGAGAACAAUCGUACAAGGUGCUAGAACUCAGACAGAGCUGCCAAAUUACAGCAUGUAGUGCAGAGCCUUUGAGACACAGGUUUUCUUGUUCAUGCAAGGACUACAGACAUUCAGGGUGUAUAUGCAAACACAUCAAUGCAGUUUUCAUACUGUAUUUCCGAGAAACUAGCU